rnacentral:misc_RNA from 1 species
GAUGAAGAACGUAGCGAAAUGCGAUAAGUAAUGUGAAUUGCAGAAUUCAGUGAAUCAUCGAAUCUUUGAACGCACAUUGCGCCCGCCAGUAUUCUGGCGGGCAUGCCUGUUCGAGCGUCAUUACAACCCUCAGGCCCCCGGGCCUGGCGUUGGGGAUCGGCGGAGCCCCCCGUGGGCACACGCCGUCCCCCACAUGCAGUGGCGGUCCCGCCGCAGCUUCCAUCGCGUAGUAGCUAACACCUCGCGACUGGAGAGCGGCGCGGCCACGCCGUAAAACACCCAACUCUUCUGAAGUUGACCUCGAAUCAGGUAGGAAUACCCGCUGAACUUAAGCAUAUCAAUAAGCGGAGGA